rnacentral:rRNA from 1 species
UCAAGUUAUUAAGGGUGCAGGGCGGAUGCCUUGGCACUAGGAGCCGAUGAAGGACGUGAUAAGCUGCGAUAAGCUUCGGGGAGUUGCACGUAAACUUUGAUCCGAAGAUUUCCGAAUGAGGAAACUCACUUAGAGUAAUGUCUAAGUAUCAUUAAGUGAAUACAUAGCUUAAUGAGGGGAACUCAGGGAACUGAAACAUCUAAGUACCUGAAGGAAGAGAAAGAAAUUCGAUUCCGUAAGUAGCGGCGAGCGAACGCGGAUUAGCCCAAACCAAUAAAGUUUUCUUUAUUGGGGUUGAGGACAUACCACAUAUAAGAGGUCAUUAUAGACGAAGAAGUUUGGAAAAACUCAUCAUAGAAGGUAAUAAUCCUGUAGUCAAAAUAAUAAUUCUUUAGGUAUGAUCCAGAGUACCACGGGACACGUGAAACCCUGUGGGAAGCAGGAGGGACCACCCUCCAAGGCUAAAUACUACCUAGUGACCGAUAGCGUAUAGUACCGUGAGGGAAAGGUGAAAAGAACCCCGGGAGGGGAGUGAAAUAGAACCUGAAACCCUGCACUUACAAGCUGUGGAAGCACAUUUCUUGUGUGACCGCGUACUUUUUGUAGAACGGGCCAACGAGUUACGUUAAGUAGCAAGGUUAAGCACUUAAGGUGCGGAGCCGUAGCGAAAGCGAGUUUUAACUGAGCGUUCAGUUACUUGACGUAGACCCGAAACCGGGCGACCUACCCAUGAGCAGGAUGAAGCGAAAGUAAAAUUUCGUGGAGGUCCGAACCCACGAGCGUUGAAAAGCUCGGGGAUGACUUGUGGGUAGCGGUGAAAUUCCAAUCGAGCCCGGAGAUAGCUGGUUCUCCCCGAAAUAGCUUUAGGGCUAGCCUCAAGGUGAGAGAUACGGAGGUAGAGCACUGAAUGUCCUAGGGGGUAUUGCACCUACCGAAGACUAUCAAACUCCGAAUGCCGUCAUCUUAUACUUGGGAGUCAGACUGUGGGUGAUAAGAUUCAUAGUCGAAAGGGCAACAGCCCAGAUCGUCAGCUAAGGUCCCUAAAUGUAAGUUAAGUGGUAAAGGAUGUGGGAUUGCACAGACAACCAGGAUGUUGGCUUAGAAGCAGCCACUCAUUCAAAGAGUGCGUAAUAGCUCACUGGUCGAGUGAUCCUGCGCCGAAGAUUUCCGGGGCUAAAACUUACUACCGAAGCUACGGCAUCAGUAAUGAUGGGUAGGGGAGCUUCCCAUACGGGUUGAAGCAUGACCGUAAGGACAUGUGGACAGUAUGGGAGUGAGAAUGUUGGCAUGAGUAGCGAGAUGUGGGUGAGAAUCCCACAGGCCGUAAACCCAAGGUUUCCAGGGGAAGGUUCGUCCGCCCUGGGUUAGUCGGGACCUAAGCUGAGGCCGAAAGGCGUAGGUGAUGGACAACAGGUUGAUAUUCCUGUACUACCGAUAACCGUUUGAGAGAAGGGAUGACACAGUAGGAUAAGCUAAGCACACUGUUGGUUAUGUGUGCCCAAGCAUUGAGGCAGUCAAAGUAGGCAAAUCCGCUUUGAUAAUGCUGGGAUGUGAUGGGGAGCGAAAUUUAGUAGCGAAGUAGCUGAUUUCACACUGUCAAGAAAAGUCUCUAUCGAGGUUAAAGGUACCCGUACCGCAAACCGACACAGGUGGGUGAGGAGAGUAUCCUAAGGCCAGCGAGAGAACUGUUGUUAAGGAACUCGGCAAAAUGACCCCGUAACUUAGGGAUAAGGGGUGCCACCAUCAGGUGGCCGCAGAGAAUAGGCCCAAGCGACUGUUUACCAAAAACAUAGGUUUCUGCUAAGUCGCAAGACGAUGUAUAGGAGCUGACGCCUGCCCGGUGCUGGAAGGUUAAGGGGAUCUGUUAGAGCAAUCGAAGCAGUGAACUUAAGCCCCAGUAAACGGCGGCCGUAACUAUAACGGUCCUAAGGUAGCGAAAUUCCUUGUCGGGUAAGUUCCGACCCGCACGAAAGGCGUAACGAUUUGGGCACUGUCUCAACAACAGACUCGGUGAAAUUGUAAUUCCGGUGAAGAUGCCGGAUACCUGCGACAGGACGGAAAGACCCCAUGGAGCUUUACUGUAGCUUGACAUUGGGUCUUGGUACUACAUGUACAGGAUAGGUGGGAGGCUUUGAAACCAGGACGCCAGUUUUGGCGGAGCCAUCCUUGGGAUACCACCCUUGUAGUACUGGGACUCUAACCAUAGGCCAUGAAUCUGGUCUUGGGACACUGUCAGGUGGGCAGUUUGACUGGGGCGGUCGCCUCCCAAAAGGUAACGGAGGCGCUCAAAGGUUCUCUCAGUACGGUCGGAAAUCGUACGUAGAGUGUAAAGGCAAAAGAGAGCUUGAUUGCAAGACAUACAGGUCGAGCAAGGAUGAAAAUCGGACUUAGUGAUCCGGUGGUUCUGCGUGGAAGGGCCAUCGCUCAACGGAUAAAAGCUACCCUGGGGAUAACAGGCUUAUCUCCCCCAAGAGUCCACAUCGACGGGGAGGUUUGGCACCUCGAUGUCGGCUCAUCACAUCCUGGGGCUGCAGUAGGUCCCAAGGGUUGGGCUGUUCGCCCAUUAAAGUGGUACGCGAGCUGGGUUCAGAACGUCGUGAGACAGUUCGGUCCCUAUCCGUCGCAGGCGUAGGAAAUUUGAGAAGACCUGUCCUUAGUACGAGAGGACCGGGAUGGACGUACCUCUGGUGUACCAGUUGUCCUGCCAAGGGCAUGGCUGGGUAGCUAUGUACGGAAUGGAUAAGCGCUGAAAGCAUCUAAGCGCGAAGCCAACUUCAAGAUAAGAUUUCCCACCGCAAGGGUAAGACCCCAGAAAGACUAUCUGGUUGAUAGGUCGAAGGUGUAAGUGCAGCAAUGUAUUUAGCUUAUCGAUACUAAUAGGUCGAGGACUUGACCAA